AAAAACCGAAUCUAGAAUCGGAUGUGACAUAUUCUAGUACUGUAAAUAUAAAUGUAAAUAUGAAUAGAGGUAUGUCCAGAUUUAUAGUAGUAGGAUUAGUCACAUCUGGUAUUAGAUUGGUUUUUUACCA
rnacentral:misc_RNA from 1 species